AGUGAACGCUGGCGGUAGGCCUAACACAUGCAAGUCGAACGGCAGCACAGUAAGAGCUUGCUCUUACGGGUGGCGAGUGGCGGACGGGUGAGGAAUACAUCGGAAUCUACUUUUUCGUGGGGGAUAACGUAGGGAAACUUACGCUAAUACCGCAUACGACCUACGGGUGAAAGCAGGGGAUCUUCGGACCUUGCGCGAUUGAAUGAGCCGAUGUCGGAUUAGCUAGUUGGCGGGGUAAAGGCCCACCAAGGCGACGAUCCGUAGCUGGUCUGAGAGGAUGAUCAGCCACACUGGAACUGAGACACGGUCCAGACUCCUACGGGGGGCAGCAGUGGGGAAUAUUGGGCAAAGGGCGCAAGCCUGAUCCAGCCAUACCGCGUGGGUGAAGAAGGCCUUCGGGUUGUAAAGCCCUUUUGUUGGGAAAGAAAAGCAGCAGGUUAAUACCCCGCUGUUCUGACGGUACCCAAAGAAUAAGCACCGGCUAACUUCGUG
rnacentral:rRNA from 1 species